AUUGAACGCUGGCGGCAGGCUUAACACAUGCAAGUCGAGCGGGGGAAGGUAGCUUGCUACCGGACCUAGCGGCGGACGGGUGAGUAAUGCUUAGGAAUCUGCCUAUUAGUGGGGGACAACAUCUCGAAAGGGAUGCUAAUACCGCAUACGUCCUACGGGAGAAAGCAGGGGAUCUUCGGACCUUGCGCUAAUAGAUGAGCCUAAGUCGGAGUAGCUAGUUGGUGGGGUAAAGGCCUACCAAGGCGACGAUCUGUAGCGGGUCUGAGAGGAUGAUCCGCCACACUGGGACUGAGACACGGCCCAGACUCCUACGGGAGGCAGCAGUGGGGAAUAUUGGACAAUGGGGGGAACCCUGAUCCAGCCAUGCCGCGUGUGUGAAGGAGGCCUUAUGGUUGUAAAGCACUUUAAGCGAGGAGGAGGAGCUUCAGGUUAAUACCCUGGAUGCUUGGACGUUACUCGCAGAAUAAGCACCGGCUAACUCUGUGCCAGCCGCCGCCGUAA
rnacentral:rRNA from 1 species